AAGGUUUGACAUGGAGGGCAAAGUUGAAGAAACUCAACGGAGGUUAUCCCGACACAGGUGGUGCAUGGUCGUCGUCAGUUCGUGCUGUGAAGCGUACGCUUAAGUGCUAGAACGAACGCAACCCUCAUAUUUAGUUGCUAUCAUUUAGUUGAGAACUCUAAAUAGACUGCUAAGAUAACUUAGAGGAAGGAGAGGAUGACGUCUGAUCAUCAUCGCCCCCUUUAACACCCGUUUGGGGCCUUAA
rnacentral:rRNA from 1 species